rnacentral:rRNA from 1 species
UGGGGAAUUUUGGACAAUGGGCGAAAGCCUGAUCCAGCAAUGCCGCGUGUGAAGAAGGCCUUCGGGUUGUAAAGCACUUUUUGUCCGGAAAGAAAUCCUUGGCUCUAAUACAGUCGGGGGGAUGACGGUACCAGGAAGAAUAAGCACCGGCUAACUACGUGCCAGCAGCCGCGGUAAUACGUAGGGGUGCAAGCGUUAAUCGGAAUUACUGGGCGUAAAGCGUGCGCAGGCGGUUUGCUAAGACCGAUGUGAAAUCCCCGGGCUCAACCUGGGAACUGCAUUGGUGACUGGCAGGCUAGAGUAUGCAGAGGGGGGUAGAAUUCCCACGUGUAGCGAGUGAAAUGCGUAGAGAUGUGGAGGAAUACCGAUGGCGAAGGCAGCCCCCUGGCCAAUACUGACCGCUCUGCACG